GAAGCAAAGGGAACACACAGCAGCAGCCUGGCUGGUGAAGGCUCUGGGCUGUGUCUCUUGUCUGAUGUCAACCUGGCUUGACGUUUGUAUGGGUCUUUACCUCCAACCAAAGCAUGGACUGCUUUUCCGAUGAAGAAAAGUCGGCCUAUUAUUGCAUUAUAGCUGACUUCUUAAGGGUUUUGUUAUGGUGGUUGGUUACCAAGGAGAAGCAACCUAAAGCUGAACCAGGUUGUGAGAAGCAGUUUACUGACAACACAUUCUUGGGUGUCUUGAAUAAGGCGGCUCCUUUUUAAGCUCCUGAUUUACUGGAACACCGUGUCACUAUGUUGUUCUUCUGUGCUGUGGAGGUUAAUCUUAUUUCUGGCCUGUCAACUGGACAUUUGAUGAUCUUGGCAAAAGGGG
ensembl:lncRNA